UGUUCCCAACUUGCUUCGGCAUCAGCAUGCUUGUUUGGUUCGUUGGUUUUCUAAUGAUACCUGCUUCUUCUUCAAUAAAAAGGAUGCUGCAGAAAAAGAAAAGUUCUCUAGCACUGCUACUAAUAACACUGUGUCAUUGUUUGGUGCAUCUAGGAAAAAUGUCUCAAGAACGAUAAUGCAAGUUGGGAUCCCAAUGGCUGGACCACUACUCAUGAAGGGUUUUUCUUGUUCACAGGUACAGUCAAGGAGAGGAUAUUCAUCUGAUUCAGGUCUUCCUCCACACCAAGAGAUUGGAAUGCCUUCUCUCUC
rnacentral:misc_RNA from 1 species